rnacentral:rRNA from 1 species
GAUUAACGCUGGCGGCGUGCAUAACACAUGCAAGUCGAACGAAGUUGCGGACUGGUGAGUAACGCGUGAGUAACCGGCGGUAGAGAAGGGGAUAGCCUUUGGAAACGAAGAAUAAUACCCUAGACUCUACGAUGUAUUUGCGUCUGAUUAGUUAGUUGGUGCGGUAACGGCCCACCAAGCCAGCGAUCAGAAGCCGGCUUGAGAGAGUGUCCGGCCCCAUUGGGACUGUGACACGGCCCAGACUCUACGGGAGGCAGCAGUGGGGAAUUUUGCACCAUGGGGGAAACCCUGAGGCAGCGAGGCCGCGUGAUUUAGAAGGCCUUCGGGUUGUAAAAAUCUUUUCUAUGGGAAGCAGUACCAUAGGAAUAAGGACCGGCUAAUUACGUGCCAGCAGCCGCGGUAAUUC